rnacentral:lncRNA from 1 species
UUACAGAUUGGAAUGGACCACAAGUAGAAAAAAGGGAAUCACACACCUCAUCAAAGAAUGGAAACUGAUGGUCAGGAAUGGACGGGUGCAUCGCUGGACGUGUUUGCUAAUGGAGAGCAGGCAGAAGAGAGAGACUCACAGGCGAAUUGGUGGACAUUCCCCCCAAAAAAUGCUGAAAAACAGCAGGAAGGGUUUUGUUGGGGUUGUCUUGUUUUUUUGCAGGUUGAAUUGGAGCAGAAGAAGGAGACUCGCAAGAAGAACGGUGGAGACAUACUUGAAGACCUGGAGCUAAUGAAGCAGACUGGGACAGAGCAUGUGGAGGAACAGGGAAACACACUUCAGUAAUGACAAGUACAUCAUAAUAAAUUAGAGUGGAGUGGAGAAACGAAGGAAUCACACAUCUCAGCCAUGAUAAGACUCUGAUAAUCAGGUAUCACCUAUUAACAACAGAUGUUCAAGAGGAAGGGGGUGGUGGUGG